rnacentral:rRNA from 1 species
UACGGAGGGUGCAAGCGUUAUCCGGAUUUACUGGGUUUAAAGGGUGCGUAGGUGGGCCUGUAAGUCAGUGGUGAAAUCUUCAAGCUUAACUUGGAAACUGCCAUUGAUACUAUAGGUCUUGAAUUAUCUGGAGGUAAGCGGAAUAUGUCAUGUAGCGGUGAAAUGCUUAGAGAUGACAUAGAACACCCAUUGCGAAGGCAGCUUACUACGGAUUGAUUGGCACUGAGGCACGAAAGCGUGGGGAUCAAACAGG